rnacentral:rRNA from 1 species
CAGCAUGAUCUAGCUUGCUAGAUUGAUGGCGAGUGGCGAACGGGUGAGUAAUACAUCGGAACGUGCCCUGUAGUGGGGGAUAACUAGUCGAAAGAUUAGCUAAUACCGCAUACGACCUGAGGGUGAAAGUGGGGGACCGCAAGGCCUCAUGCUAUAGGAGCGGCCGAUGUCUGAUUAGCUAGUUGGUGGGGUAAAGGCCCACCAAGGCGACGAUCAGUAGCUGGUCUGAGAGGACGAUCAGCCACACUGGGACUGAGACACGGCCCAGACUCCUACGGGAGGCAGCAGUGGGGAAUUUUGGACAAUGGGGGCAACCCUGAUCCAGCAAUGCCGCGUGUGUGAAGAAGGCCUUCGGGUUGUAAAGCACUUUUGUCCGGAAAGAAAUCGCACUUACUAAUAUUAGGUGUGGAUGACGGUACCGGAAGAAUAAGGACCGGCUAACUACGUGCCAGCAGCCGCGGUAAUACGUAGGGUCCAAGCGUUAAUCGGAAUUACUGGGCGUAAAGCGUGCGCAGGCGGUUGUGCAAGACCGAUGUGAAAUCCCCGGGCUUAACCUGGGAAUUGCAUUGGUGACUGCACGGCUAGAGUGUGUCAGAGGGGGGUAGAAUUCCACGUGUAGCAGUGAAAUGCGUAGAGAUGUGGAGGAAUACCGAUGGCGAAGGCAGCCCCCUGGGAUAACACUGACGCUCAUGCACGAAAGCGUGGGGAGCAAACAGGAUUAGAUACCCUGGUAGUCCACGCCCUAAACGAUGUCAACUAGUUGUUGGGGAUUCAUUUCCUUAGUAACGUAGCUAACGCGUGAAGUUGACCGCCUGGGGAGUACGGUCGCAAGAUUAAAACUCAAAGGAAUUGACGGGGACCCGCACAAGCGGUGGAUGAUGUGGAUUAAUUCGAUGCAACGCGAAAAAACCUUACCUACCCCUUGACAUGCCACUAACGAAGCAGAGAUGCAUU